AUUGGGGUGGCAGAGCUAAGUUAUGCAAGAGUCCUAAGAUCUCCAAACAGGAGUUCAAAUCUCCUCCCCAAUA
rnacentral:tRNA from 1 species